rnacentral:rRNA from 1 species
UACAGGGGGUGCAAGCGUUGUCCGGAAUUAUUGGGCGUAAAGCGCGCGCAGGCGGUCCUUUAAGUCUGAUGUGAAAGCCCACGGCUCAACCGUGGAGGGUCAUUGGAAACUGGGGGACUUGAGUGCAGAAGAGGAAAGCGGAAUUCCACGUGUAGCGGUGAAAUGCGUAGAGAUGUGGAGGAACACCAGUGGCGAAGGCGGCUUUCUGGUCUGUAACUGACGCUGAGGCGCGAAAGCGUGGGGAGCAAACAGG